rnacentral:tRNA from 1 species
CGGAAUGUAGCGCAGCUUGGUAGCGCGUCUGUUUUGGGAAUAGGAGGCCAUAGGUUCAAAUCCUAUCAUUCCGA